rnacentral:rRNA from 1 species
GCGCCUCGGAAGGGACCAAAGACUAAAGACUGUGUGAAGAACACUUGUAAGAUGACAAAAUUCAAGGGUCUUCAGCUUCACCAUUUACCCCACGAUGUUCUGCGUAUCAUACUGUCGAGAUUGACAUUGAAAGAGGCUGUGCGGAUGAGCAUACUAUCUAGGAGGUGGAGGCGCCUCUGGAAAUGCUACCCAAAGUUAGUAUUCACCAGAGCCACGAUGCGCGGAAGCAAUGCCGUGGUAGGCUGUCGAAAACCACCCUUACGGACACGGUUUAUUAGGGGUAUCAAUAGCAUCCUCCGGCAGUUAAGGUCCACUAACCUGAACAAGUUUGUGGUUAAGUUUGCGCUUCGCAAAAGGCACACAUCUCACAUUGAUAGAUGGAUCAAAUUUUCUGCCACAUCGAAAACGAAGCAUGUUGUCAUGGAUCUGUCUCCAGGACUGAAAGGCAGUAACAAGAGAGAUGAUAUGUACAGUUUCCCACUGCAUCUUUUCAGUGGCUCCAGUGGCUCUUGUGUCAGGUCUCUCUGUCUAGGAUUUGUCUAUUUAACACCGCCUGCCGAUCUCCACGGAUUUUCAAACCUUAAGAAGCUCUCUCUGCAUAUGGUGACCAUUACAGGGAUGGUUGGGCUAAGCAUAGGGCAGGAACUAAGCCGGUUGCAAUAUCUGUGCGUGAAGAUCUGUAGCCUGCAGAAGUUGGAUAUACGUGCUCCAAACCUCACCACACUUGUCUUCGCUGAUCUGAUGGUACCUAUCAUGCUUCAUGGACCUCUGAAGAUUUCUGAGGCAACGAUCCUGUUCUCGGCCUCGGACUGUUUCAAUUACGUCUGCAAUGAUGUAGUCAAUGCCCUUUCGCACGUCCAUCCGCACAAUCAUCUCAAGACCAUCCGAAUGACGGGGUUUUACGGUUUGAAUUGCCAGCUUGAGCUGGCACACCAUCUUCUUCGGAGCACAACCUCUCUUGAGCGUAUGAUCAUAGAUCCAGUGGUGGGGAAUAACUCAUUUAUUCCAUCUCUGAAGGUAGCACAAAGAUACAUGCGUGAUGGUAGGGCGUUGGCCUUUGCUAAACUUUGGAGGAAGGGGUUGGACGGGGUCCUUACCAUUCUAUGA